rnacentral:rRNA from 1 species
AUUGAACGCUGGCGGCAUGCCUAACACAUGCAAGUCGAACGGUAACGCGGAGAGCUUGCUCUCUGGCGACGAGUGGCGGACGGGUGAGUAAUACUUAGGAAUCUGCCCAGUAGUGGGGGACAACUCGGGGAAACUCGAGCUAAUACCGCAUACGCACUACGGUGGAAAGUGGGGGAUCUUCGGACCUCACGCUAUUGGAUGAGCCUAAGUCGGAUUAGCUUGUUGGUAGGGUAAUGGCCUACCAAGGCGACGAUCCGUAGCUGGUCUGAGAGGACGAUCAGCCACACUGGGACUGAGACACGGCCCAGACUCCUACGGGAGGCAGCAGUGGGGAAUAUUGGACAAUGGGCGCAAGCCUGAUCCAGCAAUGCCGCGUGUGUGAAGAAGGCCUGCGGGUUGUAAAGCACUUUCAGUAGAGAAGAAAAGCUUACGGCUAAUACCCGUGAGUCUUGACGUAACCUACAGAAGAAGCACCGGCUAACUCCGUG